rnacentral:rRNA from 1 species
AGAGUUGAUCCUGGCUUAGGACGAACGCUGGCGGCACGCUUAACACAUGCAAGUCGAACGGAGUUUUGAUCAGCUUGCUGAACGAAACUUAGUGGCGGACGGGUGAGUAACACGUGAGCAACCUGCCUUUGAGAGCGGAAUAGCUUCUGGAAACGGAUGGUAAUACCGCAUGAAAUUAUUAUACCGCAUGGUAAAAUAAUCAAAGAUUUAUCGCUCAAAGAUGGGCUCGCGCCUGAUUAGCUAGUUGGUAAGGUAACGGCUUACCAAGGCGACGAUCAGUAGCCGGACUGAGAGGUUGGACGGCCACAUUGGGACUGAGACACGGCCCAGACUCCUACGGGAGGCAGCAGUGGGGAAUAUUGCACAAUGGGCGGAAGCCUGAUGCCAGCGAUGCCGCGUGGAGGAAGAAGGUUUUCGGAUUGUAAACUCCUUAUCUUGAGGACGAUAAUGACGGUACUCAAGGAGAAAGCUCCGGCUAACUACGUGCCAGCCGCUGC